GGGAGUUGAGAGCAGCUCAGCAGCUCCCAGGAAGUUAUUGGCACUUCAAGAAAACUUGGUAGCUGUGCAGCCCCCAUCCCUCAGACCUGCAGUUGACCUCAAAAGGGCAAAAGUUGGAAGGUGUGUGGCAAAUGAGGCCGGGAACUGCAAGAAGAGAAAGAAUUGAUCAUGUGGCUCAGGCAGUUGAAUGCUUCUCUGGAGAAUUUGAUUAUACCCUUGCUUCUGGACAAAACUCCCAUGUGAUGCUAGGCAAGUCAUGUAAACUAACAUUGGCCACUGUGUGUUCCUCAUUUUCUGGGUACCCAACUUGAGAUUUGUGGGAUCUGACUUGCAGAAAUGCUGAGAACUCUCAGUUGCAGCUGAGGUCAAUGGGACCUGUACUCUCAACAUGAAGUGUUAUUAAAUACUGAAUAUUCUGAAUGCUAAAUUUGAUCUUUUGACUUUAAUCUCUGUGCCUCAAGACUUGUCUACACAAAGAAAUUAAUUUUAUUCCAAAAAGUGUAUCCACACAAGGAGUUAUUUCAAUCAAUUCCCCCACAUAGACAAGUCCUCAGCUCCCCAACAGUAAAAUGAGGAUGGACCUAUCACCUCACCUCACAGGGGCAUUUGAAGAGAAAUUUAUUUACAUUUGUAAAGUGCUAGAAUUAGAGCACAAUACAAAAGUUGAUUAGGAUCGUGUGCAGUAAAGAAUGCAUGAGGCCACACAUCAAAUGAUAGAGAAAUAUU